rnacentral:rRNA from 1 species
AUGCAGGUUCUAUUUUAUUGUUCCGAGACAUAUGAUGAUAGCAUUGAGAAUGAGAAAUCUUUGCAAAAUGCACGUAUUAUUAAGGAGUUCUGGAACGAUUACUACGCUAAGCUGUUGGAUAUUGACAAAACGAAAAAGACUUCUAAUGUUGAUAUGUAUCAGGAUGAUGUUAGAAAGUUGUUGAUUAAUGAAAAGAAGAAUCAAAAUAGUGUGUUUUCCGAUACUGAAUUAAUAGAUUUACAGAAUCAAAUUGCAAAUUGCACAAUGAAGUUCGAUGAGGAUAAUCUAUUUAAAGUAACUCCUAACAUAGUGAAGUUAUUGAUUAAUAAAGAUCAGCCUAACGCUAAGCAAUAUCUAAAGGGUUGCCUACCAAGUAGCUUACCUAUGCUUAAGAUGUUUGGUAUCUAUACGCUUGAGGCUAUCAUGAUUCAUGUACUAGGCUUGGUAUUCAACACUCUUCAGGAAUCAUCCGCAGUUAAGGCAGCUAGAUUUAUAGAUCAACUUAAUUCAACUGUACAAGAACAAGCAAGGUUUCUACAAUACAAAGCACCGGGUAGUGGUAAGGUGGAAGCAGUACUCACUAGUAAGGUAGAAUCAGUUAAGGAUGUUGUUCAGCCCAAAGGUGCUAGCAAAAAAGAGAAAAAGAAAAAAUUCAGUGUCAUUAUGAUAUCGGGAAAUACUUGCUCCAAUUCAUGA